UGGCUGGGAGGAGGCAGCAGGCGGAGCACCGGAAGGCGCCGAGGCCGCCCCAGGUGCUGGGCUCUCGACUGCGCAGCGCGCCGGCCGGGUAGGAGCGCCAGCGCCGCCUUUCAAUGGGCAGCUCGCACUUGCUCAACAAGGGCCUGCCACUAGGCGUCCGACCUCCAAUCAUGAUCGGGCCCCUGCACCCACGGCCCCUGGUGGCACUGCUCCACGGUCGGGAUUGCACGGUGGAGUUGCCUAUCUUGAAGGAUGUGGCCACGGUGGCCUUCUGUGAUGCUCAGUCCACACAGGAGAUCCAUGAGAAGGUGCUGAACGAGGCUGUGGGUGCCCUGAAGUACCACACCAUCACACUGACCAGAGGGGACCUGGAGAAAUUCAAAGCCCUUCGGAUCAUUGUCUGAAUUGGCAGUGGGUUCGACAACAUCGACAUCAAGUCUGCUGGGGACUUAGGCAUCGCUGUGUGCAAACGUGUCUGCAGCGUCUGUGGAGGAGACUGCCGACUCAACCCUGUGCCACAUCCUGAACCUAUACCGGAGGACCACCUGGCUGCACUAGGCAUUGCAGGAAGGCACACGUGUCCAGAGUGUUGAACAGAUCCGCGAGGUGGCCUCAGGGGCUGCCAGGAUCCAUGGGGAGACCUUGGGCAUCAUUGGAAUAGGUCGUGUAGGGCAGGCAGUGGCGCUGCGGGCAAAGGCCUUUGGCUUCAACGUGCUCUUCUACCACCCGUAUCUGCGAGACGGUGUGGAGCGGGCCCUGGGGCUGCAGUGCCUGAGCACCCUACAGGACCUCUUGUUCCACAGUGACUGUGUCACACUGCACUGCGGCCUCAUUGAGCACAACCACCACCUCAUUAAUGAUUUCACCAUCAAGCAGAUGAGAAAGGGGGCCUUCCUGGUGAACACAGCCCAUGGUGGGCUGGUGGACGAGAAGGCACUGGCCCAGGCCCUGAAGGAAGGGCAGAUCCGCGGGGCACAGCGCUGGAUAUGCACGAGUCUGGGCCCUUCACUUUCAGCCAGAGCCCUCUAAAGGACGCACCCAACCUUAUCUGCACCCCACAUGCUGCAUGGUGCAGCGAGUAAGCAUCCAUUGAGAUGCGCGAGGAGGCAGCUCAUGAGAUCUGGCGAGCCAUCACAGGCCGCAUUCCAGACAGCUUCAGAAAUUAUGUGAACAAGGACCACCUAACGGUGGCCACCCAUUGGGCCAGCAUGGACCCCGCUGCUGUGCACCCUGAGCUCAGUGGGGCUGCCUACAGCAGGUACCCUCCACCCCAGGUGUUGUGGGUGUGUCCCCCACUGGCAUCUCAGGGGCUGUUGAAAGCAUCGUCCCCAGCGCCAUGUCCCUGUCCCACGGCCUGCCCCCGUAGCCCACCCACCCCUUGACCCUUCUCCUGGCCAAACUGUCAAGCCCGAAGCAGACAAAGACCACCCGAAUGACCAAUUGUAG